rnacentral:lncRNA from 1 species
CAAAAACUUUGAAUACAAGAUAUAUAGGAUAAAAAAAGAUGAUCAAGGAAAUCUGUUAGGAAUUGAUAUUGAAAUUGAAGGAAAAAGAAUAACUUUGAUAAGCUUAUAUGGUCCAAAUAAAGAUUCACCUGAAUUUUAUUCUAGAGUAAGUGAUACAAUAGAAGACUUGAACAACCAAUCAGUUUUAAUAACUGGAGAUUACAAUUUAGUCCAAAACCAAAAUCUUGAUACUUAUAAUUACCAAAAUGUAAAUAACCCAAAAGCCAA